rnacentral:misc_RNA from 1 species
AAGUCGUAACAAGGUUUCCGUAGGUGAACCUGCGGAAGGAUCAUUAAUGAAAUAGUAGAUUUCGAUCUCUCUUUCCCUUUGUGAAGACACUGACAACUAGUAAAACUCUUGGGGUUUAAACAUGUCGCAUUCAGCAAUGAAUGAAACGACCCCAAAGGUUUCUAAUUAAACCCAUUUAUUAUCUAUUUGACUGAAAAAUAAUCAAUUGAAACAAAUGAUUGAAAUAACUUUCAACAACGGAUCUCUUGGUUCUC